rnacentral:rRNA from 1 species
CAGCCGCCACGGUAAUACGUAGGGUGCAAGCGUUAAUCGGAAUUACUGGGCGUAAAGCGUGCGCAGGCGGUUAUAUAAGUCAGAUGUGAAAUCCCCGGGCUCAACCUGGGAACUGCAUUUGAGACUGUAUGGCUAGAGUGUGUCAGAGGGGGGUAGAAUUCCACGUGUAGCAGUGAAAUGCGUAGAUAUGUGGAGGAAUACCGAUGGCGAAGGCAGCCCCCUGGGAUAACACUGACGCUCAUGCACGAAAGCGUGGGGAGCGAACAGGAUUAGAUACCCCCGUAGUCCCUGUCUCUUAUAC